rnacentral:sRNA from 1 species
ACAUUGAAAAAAAAAUUAACUUAAAAAAUAUAGUUUACACAAAAAAGAAAAACCAAAAAAAAAAUUGUUAGAGAUUUUUUCAGAGUAGUGAGAGGAAAAUGGC